rnacentral:rRNA from 1 species
CGGUUGAUCCUGCCGGAGGACAUUGCUAUUGGGAUCCGAUUUAGCCGUGCUAGUCGAGCGAGUUUAGACUCGCGGCGAAUAGCUCAGUAACACGUGGCCAAGCUCCCCUUCAGUCAGCGAUACCCUCGGGAAACUGAGGUUAACAGCUGAUACAAAACGCCAGCUGGAAUGCGGCGUUUCAGAAAGGCAUCGCUGAAGGAUGCGGCUGCGGCCGAUUAGGUAGACGGUGGGGUAACGGCCCACCGUGCCAGUAAUCGGUACGGGUGAUGAGAGUCAGAGCCCGGAGACGGAAUCUGAGACAAGAUUCCGGGCCCUACGGGGCGCAGCAGGCGCGAAACCUUUACACUGCACGGAAGUGCGAUAGGGGAAUCCCAAGUGCGAGGGCAUAUUAGCCCUCGCUUUUCUCGACUGUAAGGUGGUCGACGAAUAAGAGCUGGGCAAGACCGGUGCCAGCCGCCGCGGUAAUACCGGCAGCUCAAGUGAUGUCCCAUAUUAUUGGGCCUAAAGCGUCCGUAGCUGGCCGACCAAGUCUACCGGGAAAUCCACCCGCCCAACGGGUGGGCGUCCGGUAGAAACUGGCCGGCUUGGAACCGGAAGGCUCAGAGAGUACGUCCGGGGUAGGAGUGAAAUCCCGUAAUCCCGGACGGACUACCGAUGGCGAAAGCACUCUGAGAAGACGGCUUCGACAGUGAGGGACGAAAGCUCGGGUCUCAAACCGGAUUAGAUACCCGGGUAGUC